rnacentral:lncRNA from 1 species
AUGAACCAACCCAUACCUGGCCCUAGCUCUUCACCUGGGGAGCCAGUAGAGGAACAUCUAGAAGACCCCACAAGUCCAACUUUUGACCAGAAACCAACAAAAGAACAGGUGGAACUCCUGCUGCUGGCAUUAAAACUCAAACAUGGAUUAACAAAUAGAGCCUUGGAGGACAUCAUGCAUCUUAUCAACUUUAUUGCUGGUCCUGGUGGGGAAUUGGUUAGUGGCUCAAAGUACCUUUUCUACAAAGCAUUUGAUUCAGUGAAAGACAUAUUAGAAGUACAUUAUGUGUGCAAGAGUUGCAAGGUAAGCAUGCAGGAAGGUCCCUUUAAUGUCAAGUGCCCAGUCUGUGACCAGGACACAUCAAAAGCGCAUGCACAAAAAGACCAGUGUUUUUUGUACUUGCCACUAAAAUACCAAAUUAAAAAACUGCUUGAGGACCACCAAUUAGGGAAACACCUGAAACACCGCUUUGAGAAGAAGGAUGCCUCCAUCAAAGAUAUAUAUGAUGGACAUUUAUACAAAAAACGAUCACCCCUUGCAUCACCAGACAGCAUAUCACUGACUUUCAACUGUGAUGGAGUGCCAGUGCACAAAUCAAACACAAAAAGUUUGUGGCCAAUUUUGUGUACUAUUAAUGAACUGCCAAUACAGCUACGUGCAAAACAUGUUAUGCUUUGUGGCCUGUGGUUUGGUCAAAACAAACCAAAUAUGAACACUUACAUGAAACCAUUUGUCGAUGAAUGCAUAGAGUUGUACUCUAAUGGUCUUAUAUGGGAAAGUGAAAGUGGGGAAAUUGUCACAAGUAAAGUACUGCUUACUACCAUGGUGGCAGAUUCAGUUGCUCGGCCACUGAUUCAGAACUUUAAACAGUUUAAUGGUGAGUUUGGGUGUUCUUUUUGUAUGCAGAAAGGAACAAGUGUGCUAAAACGCAGGGGGCGUGUAAGGGCUUAUCCCUAUGAAAAAGCAGAGUUGAGGAAUCCCUCCCAGACUGAUGAUCUGGUGGAAGAGGCUCUUGCUGGAAACCCCACUAAGGGAGUGAAAGGGCCUAGUAUUUUGUCUUGUCUACCUGAUUUUAAUAUCAUUGAUGGCUGUGUUCCAGAUUAUAUGCACAGUGUGCUGCUGGGUGUAGCAAGAAGCAUCACCACGCUGUGGUUUCAUUCUGAAAACAACCAAUCGCCAUGGUAUAUCGGACACUCAACAGAACAGAUUGAUGACAUUUUAACUUCUAUUAAACCCCCCUGUAAUGUUUCCCGUGUCCCCCGCUCAGUGAAAGAGAAAAAGUUCUAG